GUGGACGUGUCGGAGUGGUUAUCGGGCAUGACUAGAUAUCAUGUGGGCUCUGCCCGCGCAAGUUCGAAUCCUGUCGUCCACA
rfam:Picea glauca, whole genome shotgun sequence.